ACGACGGGUAGCCGGCCUGAGAGGGUGUCCGGCCACACUGGGACUGAGAUACGGCCCAGACUCCUACGGGAGGCAGCAGUGGGGAAUAUUGCACAAUGGGCGCAAGCCUGAUGCAGCGACGCCGCGUGAGGGAUGACGGCCUUCGGGUUGUAAACCUCUUUCACCACGGACGAAGCGCGAGUGACGGUACGUGCAGAAGAAGCACCGGCCAACUACGUGCCAGCAGCCGCGGUAAUACGUAGGGUGCGAGCGUUGUCCGGAAUUACUGGGCGUAAAGAGCUCGUAGGUGGUUUGUCGCGUUGUUCGUGAAAACUCACAGCUCAACUGUGGGCGUGCGGGCGAUACGGGCAGACUGGAGUACUGCAGGGGAGACUGGAAUUCCUGGUGUAGCGGUGGAAUGCGCAGAUAUCAGGAGGAACACCGGUGGCGAAGGCGGGUCUCUGGGCAGUAACUGACGCUGAGGAGCGAAAGCGUGGGGAGCGAACAGGAUUAGAUACCCUGGUAGUCCACGCCGUAAACGGUGGGUACUAGGUGUGGGUUUCCUUCCUUGGGAUCCGUGCCGUAGCU
rnacentral:rRNA from 1 species